rnacentral:rRNA from 1 species
AGUGACGUCAAGUCAUCCAUGGCCCUUACGCCUAGGGCUACACACGUACUACAAUGGUGGGUACAAAGGGCAGCGAAACCGUGAGGUCGAGCGAAUCUCAAAGAACCCAUCAUAGUCCGGAUUGCAGUCUGCAACUCGACUGCAUGAAGUUGGAAUCGCUAGUAAUCCCGGAUCAGCAUGCCGGGUGAAUACGUUCCCGGGCCUU